rnacentral:misc_RNA from 1 species
GAUGAAGAACGCAGUGAAAUGCGAUAAGUAGUGUGAAUUGCAGAAUUCCGUGAAUCAUCGAGUCUUUGAACGCACAUUGCGCCCCCUGGUAUUCCGGGGGGCAUGCCUGUCCGAGCGUCAUUGCUGCCCUCAAGCACGGCUUGUGUGUUGGGCCUCCGUCCUCCUCCCGGGGGACGGGCCCGAAAGGCAGCGGCGGCACCGCGUCCGGUCCUCGAGCGUAUGGGGCUUCGUCACCCGCUCUUGUAGGCCCGGCCGGCGCUUGCCGACACAUCAAUCUUUUUUCCAGGUUGACCUCGGAUCAGGUAGGGAUACCCGCUGAACUUAAGCAUAUCAAUAAGCGGAGGA